GACGAACGCUGGCGGCGUGCUUAACACAUGCAAGUCGAACGAGAGGACAAGAGAAGCUUGCUUCUUUUGGAAUCGAGUGGCAAACGGGUGAGUAACACGUAAACAACCUGCCUUCAGGAUGGGGACAACAGACGGAAACGACUGCUAAUACCGAAUACGCUUGGGAGACCGCAUGAUCUUCCAAGGAAAGGGUGGCCUCUACUUGUAAGCUAUCGCCUGAAGAGGGGUUUGCGUCUGAUUAGGCAGUUGGUGAGGUAACGGCCCACCAAACCUACGAUCAGUAGCCGGUCUGAGAGGAUGAACGGCCACACUGGAACUGAGACACGGUCCAGACUCCUACGGGAGGCAGCAGUGGGGGAAUCUUCCGCAAAUGGGCGAAAGCCUGACGGAGCAACGCCGCGUGAGUGAUGACGGCCUCGGUUGUAAACGUUC
rnacentral:rRNA from 1 species